GACUGUGUGAGUUCCCUCUCACGAUUAUCUCAGGUCAGUAUUUGCCUUUGUAAUUGAUGGAGAACUUCUUAAUUUCUCUCUCUAGUGCGUCUAGAGUGUUGACAGUUGUUUCCAUGGACUUCAAAUCAACCCAACCCUGUGAGCACAGACUUUCAGCACCAGAGUCAGAUUUCCCAAAAAUGCUAUUCUUGAAGCGUAGAGCCAGACUCACAGAUCCUGUAAAGAAAACAGAUCUUUCAGCAAGUGAAACACCCAAUCUUCCAUUGCAUGGGACUCACAGAGGUUCUGAGGGAGAGAUGUGAAUAGAAGGAGUGAUCAUCACUGUGGACUCUAUUUCUUCCAUCUGUGCGUGCAAGAUUUAUAUCUGUAUGUGUUUGUUUUAAAGUUUUAUUGAGGUAUAAUUGAUACACAAUAAUCUGUACCUAUUUAAUGUAUACAAUUUGAUGAGUUUGGACAUACUUAAAUACCUGUGAAACCAUCACCACAAUCAAGGUAAUAGACAUAGCCAUCACCUCCAAAAGUU
rnacentral:lncRNA from 10 species